AUCCUUCUACAUACACAGUAGCAAUUUGUGGUCUUGGAACAUGCAACUGAUUGAAGCUGAAGGUGAUGGCAGAGACAGUGAUGGAGCAACAGCUGAAAAUAACAACGCAUGGGACUGAAGGAUAUUAUUAAAACAUAAUCCACAUAGAAGUCAGCUGGUAGGAAAUGCAAGGUAAAUAGAAACCAGAGUUUCCAUGUGCCAUCAACACAUGUCAAGUCAAAGGAUCUUUCUGCUCUGAAAUAUACAGUCCACUCCCUUUUUGCUACAGCAGUACAUAAGAGACGUGAAACUAAUCUGGAUGCAGUUCAAAUAACAAUGUCACUUUUUGACUGCCUCAAGGAUCUGACAGGAGGAAUUGAGUAUGCUGCCAAGAUAUUAAAUGAAAUUCCCCAGAAAGACAUUCAGUGCACUAAAAGAGCCUCAAAGGCAGAAAGGGAAGGAAAUGGGCAAGGUAAGUCAUACAUAAUGAUCUCAGUUGGCGUCCAUUGAUCUCGCCCAGCAUCCUUUGAGAGUGGAAUA
rnacentral:lncRNA from 1 species